rnacentral:rRNA from 1 species
GUAAUACGUAGGUGGCAAGCGUUGUCCGGAAUUAUUGGGCGUAAAGCGCGCGCAGGCGGUUCCUUAAGUCUGAUGUGAAAUCUCGCGGCUCAAUCGCGAGCGGCCAUUGGAAACUGGGGAACUUGAGUGCAGGAGAGGGGAGCGGAAUUCCACGUGUAGCGGUGAAAUGCGUAGAGAUGUGGAGGAACACCAGUGGCGAAGGCGGCUCUCUGGCCUGUAACUGACGCUGAGGCGCGAAAGCGUGGGGAGCGAACAGGAUUAGAUACCCUGGUGAGU